AAUUAAAAUUUUCAUACAUUUUUACUGUUAAAAACUAACAUGUGAUUGAUGAAAUAACCAUACAGUUACACAUGACAUGUCACGUAUACCUCAUGUCGACAUACAUGAACUGGUUUUUAACAAUAUAAAUAGAUGAAAAUUUUAACA
rfam:Gossypium hirsutum cultivar TM-1 chromosome 2, whole genome shotgun sequence